UACGUAGGGGGCUAGCGUUGUCCGGAUUUAUUGGGCGUAAAGAGCGUGUAGGCGGCCAGGUAGGUCUGCUGUGAAAACUCGAGGCUCAACCUCGAGACGUCGGCGGAAACCAUCUGGCUAGAGUCCGGAAGAGGAGAGUGGAAUUCCUGGUGUAGCAGUGAAAUGCGUAGAUAUCGGGAGGAACACCAGUGGCGAAGGCGGCCUUCUGGACCAGUACUGACGCUGAGACACGAAAGCGUGGGGAGCAAACGGG
rnacentral:rRNA from 1 species